UCUCCGUAGGUGAACCUGCGGAGGGAUCAUUACAGAGUUCAUGCCCUACCGGGUCGAUCUCCCACCCUAUGUUAUUAUUACUUUGUUGCUUUGGCGGGCCGUUAGGCUCCGGCCCGACUACCGGCCCCGGCUGGUAAGCGCCCGCCAGAGGACCCAAAACCCUGAAUAUUAGUGUCGUCUGAGUACUAUAUAAUAGUUAAAACUUUCGACAACGGAUCUCUUGGUUCUG
rnacentral:misc_RNA from 1 species